GACAAAAUUACCCCUGAACUUUGAAAAAUAGUUCAUUCAUGCCCUUCGUUAUACUUUAAGGCCAAUUAUACCCUUACCGUUAUACUUUGGGCCAAAUAUACCCUUGAAUAUAACGGCGUGCCACGUGUCAGUCUAUCAUUGGCCAACUUAUUUUCCCUUUUAUUUUUUAUCAUCCGGAUCAUGAUCAUACAGAUCCGACCCAAAUCCAUUUAGUAUCCGACCCGUCACUAACUUAUCACACCCAAAUAAACAUAAACCUAACAGAUCUAACGCUUCUCUCUCUCUCUCUCUCUAAAAAACAAAUGCAGACCUCUAUCAUCUUCAACCUCCAUAGCUGACUUCUCUAUUGGAAACCCUAGGUUUUUCAUGUUCCGAAUUCAGUCCAUUUAAAGGCUCAAGAAGCUUAUUAAGAUGAUAAAAGUCAACUUAUUCUUCCACCAUGGUGGUGAUUGGAUUCGAGAACCACAUGUAUUGGACUGCUUGAUGCAGUAAAGAAUGUAUUGCCUGAAGCACAUCAGAGAUUUUGUGUAAAGCACAUUGAGGCAAAGUG